rnacentral:rRNA from 1 species
AUUGAACGCUGGCGGCAUGCCUUACACAUGCAAGUCGAACGGCAGCACGGGUGCUUGCACCUGGUGGCGAGUGGCGAACGGGUGAGUAAUAUAUCGGAACGUACCCUAUUGUGGGGGAUAACGCAGCGAAAGCUGUGCUAAUACCGCAUAAUCCCUAAGGGGGAAAGCGGGGGACCGUAAGGCCUCGCGCAAUUAGAGCGGCCGAUACCUGAUUAGCUAGUUGGUGAGGUAAAGGCUCACCAAGGCAACGAUCAGUAGCUGGUCUGAGAGGACGAUCAGCCACCCUGGGACUGAGACACGGCCCAGACUCCUACGGGAGGCAGCAGUCGGGAAUUUUGGACAAUGGGGGCAACCCUGAUCCAGCAAUGCCGCGUGAGUGAAGAAGGCCUUCGGGUUGUAAAGCUCUUUUGUCAGGGAAGAAACAGCAGCUCUAACACAGUAUGCGAAUGACGGUACCUGAAGAAUAAGCACCGGGUAACUACGUGCCAGCCGCCGCGGUAA